ACACAGGAUUGGCAUACACUAAGACUGUUGCUGCUGCAGGGAAUGCAAAUGUGAAUCACCACUUGGACUGAAAAAUCCCACCCCCAAUACAAUACUAUCAACCACAUCUUUGCAUAGCAAAUUCCACCCAAACACUUACUGAUUGGUUCCCUAUCCUGGGACAUGGACAAUAUAUACCCCACUAAAAACAUUCCCUUCU